rnacentral:tRNA from 1 species
AUUUAAAUAGUUUAAAAUAAAAUAUUGAUUUGUGGUGUCAAUGAUAUGAAAAUUUCAUUUUAGAUC